AAAUCAAAGCACCUCAUAUAAUUCGUGAAACCUGAGGUCCGUAUUUUAAAAUUUAGAUGUCCUUUUGUUGAUUUGUGAUACCAAAGCUAGGCCAGAGCAAUUUUCGAAAUAAGAUAAUAAUAUUCAAAGAUAAUAUGUUUAAAAAUAGGCAGAAUUCAUCUUUAAGAAUUGAAAGUAAAGUCAAAUUACUAAUUGGAACAUUAACCGUGAUUCUAAAAUUUUAAGAAUCCAUGAUGAUUAACUUAACUUGAAUUCCUGAUCAACAUUGAAAUGUUUAAGGUACCUACUAACACAUUGACUGUUUUUCUGUUUUACUUAUCAGCAUCUUAAUGAUCUUGACUCCUCCUUGACCUAUGACUCCGACGACUCCUCGUUUGUCACGAACAGCGAGAUCUCUACAUUUUCUAUGCAUGAAGAUCUCUUCUCUCCUGGUUUCCAUGGUGAUGGUGUACAUCGUAUCCCCCCUGAUGUGACCGCUACUAACCCUAAGUUUCAUAAACCUGUUCCGACUACUAACACUCCACAUGUGACAAUUCCAUCUAAGCCAGGAGGUCUCAUCAACUUUCUCAGCUCGGGAAACUCCCCUUCAAAGCAGUCAAUUGACACUCAUCAAACAAAAGGCGUUAGUUUUAAAGUUGAAACUGUUGGAAGUCCACGCAAGACAGGUUUUGUCAACUCACCUGAGAACAGUUAUCUGCGGCCACAGAAAUCGACGGGAAGCAAGGUGUCCGCAUUUUCUAGGUUUAGGAAGUUGAGUACUGGCGAUGGUAAGGUUGGAGUGCCUGAAAAGUCUGGUAGGUCAGACAGGGGAAUGAGUGUGGGAACGUUCAAACCGAUUCAGCACGAGACAUCCUUACAUAGACCAGUCAGUCUCAAGGACUUCAGGACACUGUCGAACUCACCACUGUUUGACGACCAGUCGAAAAGAAACCGUACAAUGUCUACUUCCCCACAGUCAGACAGACAGACCAAAAAACAUUCAGAGGAUAUGGACAGGGAAUCAACAUACCUGUAGAAAUUUAAAUUGGAGCUUUGGUUCACAGGAUCAGUACCUGAUUACUUGCAAUGAUUGUUUUAGUGAUUUUAGUGGAAUUAUGCAUCUUCCGUUUUUUCUCUCUUCUUUUUCAAGAGUUAUGUCCUUUUUAGUUUUGAUGAAUUUACGUCCCCUUCUAUGAUAUCCUGAAAAUUUGAAGGAAAGGUGUUAUGUUAUCAUCAUUGUAUAUUGCAGUCCCUCUGUAAUUAACGUUAACACAGAAACUGUUGAUUUUGUAUCCAGCAUAUAAUAGAAUGGUCCCGUUUUUCUUUGUGAUCACAGAAACUGCUUGUGAUAUAUUGUUUUUGUAGCAUUUAACUUGGUAUCUUUUCCUAAUAGAUAAAAACUGCACAGUAGAGCACGCAUUUUCAAGUUGUAAGUAGAGACGUAAUUUGUUCAGUAAUGCAGAUGUUCAGAUAUUUGAUUGAUGAUAUAAUAAAUACGAUUCCUAGUAUACUGAGGACAUAACAGAAAAUAGGAUAUGCAACUUUUUUAUUAUUCUUUCAAGCAGUAUGAUUCAUAGACAUAUAUUCUGAGAAAAGAUUCACUGUUAAAAAAUACACAUUGUGUACUGUACAUGUGAUGUUAUUGUAGUAUUGUAUGUACGCAUGUUAAUUUGUACUGGAGAUUCAUAUGAUUAUUGUAUCUAUACAUCCAAAUAUAAAAAUUAAGAUUUCUGAAGUUGACAUAUACGUAUGUUGACUUUAUUGUAGUGUUCGUGAAUGUUCUCCGUCAAUUACUGUUAAUUAAGAAAUUGGACAUAUUUGCUUAUGAAUUAAAAGAAUCAUCCGAUUUAAGUAGGGUGUUCAAAUCAUUUGUAGUCGGGCAUCUCAUUCAUCAUUCAUAGAUAAUCUUGGUAUCUGUUACACAACACAUUGCUCUCUGGUACACAACACAUCGGGCAUACUUGGACAAACUAUGUCUGGUACACAACACAUCGGGCAUACUUGGACAAAAUAUUUUUGACACGUCCUGGGGGUGAAAAUUUCACCUGAAGUGAACACGAAGAACAUCGACACGGAACACUGUUCAUGGAACAAAUUUUUGCACUUUUCAUUUGGCAAGGAAAAGAAGAACAAAGUUGGUUAUUCACACAUUGUAAUGGCAAAAGUGUCCACUUCAUAUACAAUUUAUCACUGAUAUAAAAGAAUAAUUUCAACAAGCUUCUGGCACACUAAUGGUUUAUGAAAUCGUAAAUUUUACGUCUGAGUUUUUUAAAUCAUCUUUAAAUGCAUUUUGUCAAAACCUGAUUAAUAAAACAGAGGUACUAGAAGUUUAUACAGAUUUGUAUUUUUAUUGACUUAUUGAAAACAUGUUCUCUAUAUUUUGAAUAAUUGUCCCAAGUUCUGAGUAUGAAUACAGGGAUUUGCUGUUUCUGUCUGUAGUAUAUACUCACUAUAUGAACAUGUAUUCAGCAUAUGAAUGAAAAAAAAAAAAAAAAAAACAUUUUUCACUAACGCAUCUCUCCUAUAUCUAUUCCGAUCCAAUACAAAAUAUUCAUCGUGACAGUCUUUUACAUAUCGGGCCAGUUACGAGAUUAGAUAUGCUAAAUCACUCAAAGAUAACAUUUGUUUCUGCAACUCCUGAUCAUUAUGAUAUUUUGUGAUACUGACAUGUUAACAGAAUCUGAUAAUGGUAUUAACGAACCAAGUACCACAAUGUAUGGGAAUUUCAAAUCUAAUGAAAAAAUCUAGAACUAUGGAUAUAGAUGAACAUUAGAAAGUAUUGUACUUCAGAAGUGAAAAAGUGCACUUACCUUGAGAUAUUUGGUCCAAGUCAUGGUGAUGAGUGCUGAACCUCCGGACAGAUACACAGAUUCCACUGAAAUACAUACGUAUCACCAAAUGUAUAAAUAAGUUUUUAUUAUGCUCCCAGAACAUGGAUUGAACAUUUUGCCUCUAGUGAUCAUUCAGGUAAUCUUUUGAGAAACGUUUAUGUGAACCUACAUUGGAGCAAAACUGUUUAUAGAUAUCCCAUCAAAUGCAGCAUUACUUUUCUGAAAUCAUAUCCAUCUGAACUUGACUUCAUAUCAUGGAAGCUAUUUGGAAGGUAUCAAAAAACAACAAACAAAUCCUAGGGAAGGACCCUGAAAAUAAAUAUUAACAAAAUAAUGGUUGAGUGAUCUCUGGAUAACGUACAGAAAAUAAAAUUGGUAUCAAAUUCAAAUAGUAAGUGCUGUUUAUUCUAAAUUAUUUGUUUUCAGUCCUAGAAGAACAAUAUUCUUCAAAGAUCUGCCUGUGUUGACGCACCUGUAGCAGAAAAAUGAAGGCACACAAAACAAACGUUCCAAGGAAGAUCUUCACAAGUGGUAACUAACUGUAACUAUGGUAACAAACUAUCAUUAAUAUCCACUGACAAUUUUUGUAUGUCGUGGUAAUAAUGGCUUUUGUGAUAACCAGACGGAAGUGAAAACAAUUUACCACAAAGACUUCUAACCAUUGGACUCCCGCGGAAAUGUUGUAACCACAGCGACAACAAACAACAACCUAGUGGUUUACUAUAGUAAAUGUGUCAUCUUCCUCCUAGCUGUAGACUGUGAUUCACUUUUAAGACUUUCCACCCCUAUUGUGUAGAAUAGACUCAACCAUAAUUGGGGAGGAGCCAUAAUGAUCAAUAGCAUGUUUUAUAACGAACACACGGACUCUCCCAUUAAUAGGGAUUUUAUUUUUAUUUAUGGUUGCCAUUGUGAUUCUUCUGACGACUGAUGAUUUUUGCAUUUAGAGACAAUGUCAAAUGCUCUUGGGGUCCAUUAACACGUGUCUGUAGCAAGAUUACUUUGUCUUUGUGACUAAAGGCAAGAGUGGAGAUUUGAGAUUUGAUAUAUCUAUGUUUCAAUAUAAGCUGUUUGAGGACUGUUUCUGUAUGAAUUAUUAGUAUGAAAUAUCUGCUAACGUACGCUGUGUAAAAUAAGCAAAUAAUUUGAUUGGUUUUCAUCCAGUAACCAUGAGUGUCACAUGACCUACAAAGGAUCAUUAAGGAUGUGUAUGUGCUGUAUUGCAUACACUUUAUUUGAAGACUGAGGCGUGUUACUAAAUAAAUUGUUCCACAAUUGGUAUAUUUUAUAAUAUAGAAUAAACAAGUUGAUAAGAACAUAUUUACCGACACAUUUACAAAAAGGGUUUUAAGAAAUUUAGUGGAAAUGUCAAGUUGGAUGGUUGAAUGUUGCGUUUGAUACUUUAAUGUGAAUACAUUACCUCUAGAGUGAUAGAAUGCACUUCAAUCUAACUCCACUGAUUUCUAAGAUUCAUGAUUGGUCCAGUUACUCACACAAUUGCAUAAAAUAUCAUUACGAUGAUUAAUGUGUCAAUUUUGUUUUGAAUAUGACAAUUUCUUAGACUUGAGUCAGUGACUGAAUUUGACUUUUUUCUGAAUUCGAUUUUGUCACUUAAAUAUUGUUUAUCAAAAGAAAUUUGAAAUAUUGAGAAACCUCUUCUCUAUUUCUUUUACAAUGAAAUAUAAAGCUACUCAUCUCAGCAUGGACACAUCUUAUACUCCCUCUCCUUCAGGUGCUUCUGGUUCCACUCACUACCAAAACCUGUCUUACAAUAUGGAAUCAUUCUUACAUACCAUUUUAUGUAUAUGCGAUAUUCCAUUUUAGUAUAUUUAUAUUCAACUGAAAGAGUAGGGCAUUGUUAUUUUUCAACGUUUUCAUAAACAGUCGCUGAAGGUAUUGUGCGAGAAAUCAUCUGUUAAAAAUGUUGACACAGAAAUCAAGAAAUGUAAAAAAAAAAAAAAAAAA